GUAACAUCUGAGACACCAUGGAUCAGCAGCGUAUUACAAACAUGACGAUUAAACUCAUGGUUCUUGCUUUGUACUGUAAAGGUUCCUUAGCUGAGAUCACCAGAGAGCUCAGUGUCUUAGUGGGCAAUGAGGUAACGCUCAGCUGCAUGUUCGACACACCGCAUAAGCUAGUGGAGUGGAGUGCUCUUAGUAUUGAGUGGAACAUGGUGGACAAACAUGCAAAGAAGAGCAUGGUGUACACGCUGGAAGAUGGAAGAGCUCAAGUGUACAAAGAAGGCUCUGUGGUGAAUGAAACGUGCCUGCGGCAGAGUGAUGCGUCCCUGCAGCUUCAUAAUGUCACUGUAGGAGAUGAAGGGCUGUACACUUGCAGAGUCAUCAACCCUCUGAUCUACACAGAGUCCACUGCUCUGAAAGUGCUCGCUCAGCCUUCAGUGUUGCUCCCAGAAAAGGCAACAGUGAGAGAAGGACAGGAGAAAACCAUACAGUGUGAUGUAACAGGUUUCUACCCAGAGAAAGUGGCUGUGACGUGGCUGAUCCAAAAUGGCACCCAGACCAUCCAUGCAGGGUUGGGCCAACUGUCCCGUGUCUGCAAUGAGCUGGCUGUACACAACCCAGAUGGCACCUACAGCAUUCGUAGUGGCAUCACGCUGCACUCCUCAGUACUAAGGGGUGGAGAGAUACAUGUCAUCUGCCAAGUUGAGCACCAGACCUACAAUGGUCUCUACAACCGAUCUGUAACACUGGCUGUUCAAGCUCCACCAGAGCUGCUUCACAGUACAGCCACUGUGAUAGCUGUUACAAGUGUAAUAACUUUGCUACUGGUCACCUGUGUUACUGGAGGAUCUUUAUAUCUCUACAGAUAUUUUUACAAAGUUCCAUUUAAUGUUUCGGAAAUCAGUCAGCCCAUCAUAAUAUACGCUCAGGUACCCACAGAACUGAUGUGCACCAUUCAGGGAUCCACAAGGUGGGAGCUCAAAGUGAAAUGGUUUAAACUAAGAACCAGUCCAGACUCAGUGAUUCAGUCAGAGUCAGGUUCUUCAGAUUCCCUGCUGGAGACUGAGGAUCUCAGCGAACAGGCUUGUCUGCAGUCAGAUGGCAAAAAUCACACAUCUGUCCUGCCUGUAUUUCUGACUGUUACUGACGACCAAACCAAAUACCAGUGUGUAGUGUGGUGCAAGGACAGGAGCUUCAGAAGGGAGACCACAGUCAAGGUUAAAGGAAGCCCUCCUGAUGUGAUGUUCAUCGACCAUGAACCUCAGUGUCCUAAAGUGAAUGAAGAGUGUACUUUGCACCUGCACAUAAAAGACUUUUGUCCUGAGGAGGUGUUGGUGACAUGGACUAAAGAUGGAGACAGGGUUGUUUCUGGUGUCUUCAAUACUCCCCCCAGCCUGAACGUCAACGGCCUGUACUCCAUGUUCAGUUUCCUCAAACUCAAUCCCACCAAGAAUGACCAAGGCUGCACAUUCAAAUGCCAGGUGGUGCAUAGUGCUCAGAAGGAGCCUGAGGAAAGGAUCUUCAUAUUUCCAAAACUCUGCCUAACAGACAGCUGUUGAUGUCUAAACCUACUUUGGAUCAUUUCACAUCUGGUGUCACUGUUCUGGGUCAGUUUGACCCAGCUUUUUCUGUUUCUGUUUUGGGGUUUUUCUAAAUUAUGAUUUGUUUGGAUUUUUGAGUUGUGCUGGUUUGAUUUUGUAUUAAGGGUUAUUCUUGGUUUUGUUCUCUUGAUGUUAUUUGUUGUUCUGGUCUCUAGUUUAAGUCACUGUCUUCUCUGUUUCAAGUGUUAUAUUCUUGCAGUCUAUCUCUCAGUGUCAAGUUUGCGUUUUUGUGAUUUGUUUCGUAUUUCCUGUUUUUUUUGUUUUGAUAGUCCCAGUCCUGUGUCAGUAUAUUCAGUUUUACCUGCCCCUGUCUCGUUAGCCCUAAUCUCACCCAGCUGUGCCUCCCUCCUGUUUCCCAUUCCCUGAUUACUCCCUUGUGUAUAUAAGCCCUGUGUUUGCCUUUGCUCUUUGUCGCGUCAGUCCUUAGUUCCUCUGUCCAGAGUUUUGUUUUUUGGUGAGUUUAAUCUUCUAAGAGGUUUUUCCCAGCAAUAAAGCUGCGCUUUGAGUUUUACCUCCGUGUUUGAGUCCUGUUUUUGAGUCCACCUUUCCUGCCUGCCUGCCACACAGCCCACCAUGACAUCUGGGGAGUAAAUCAUUUCAGUUUUAAUUCUGCAGUUCUGCUGACUACAAAACUGUAAAACAGAAAACAAAAAAAUUGAAAUGCUUUAGUGUAAUAUCUGCAAAUUUUAUCCUGCCUGAGUAUCACUUUAGGUUAAACAGGCUGGGUUAUCCACAUUUAAGACUGCUAUAAACCUUUUCUGACAAUCUUAAAGACCACUUCGUGUCCUCUGGAUAAUACAAUAGUCAUUUCAUUAUUAUUUUUUGUUUUUAACACACACAAUAUUGUAUUUCAUAUAGUUAACAGUGUCAGUUAACUAUUAAGCUAUUAAACCAACUCUUCUAAGGUGAUGCUAGAGGCUCUACCUUUUAAGCUACUUGCAGAGUUAGUGCAGUCAGUGCACACGCUGCUUUGAAUUUACUCUAAGUUUUGAGUAACCUUGGUUUCAUUGCUAUAUGUUCCUAUAUGUAUUCUAAUUGCUGCAUGUUUUUUGUUCUAUUUUGUUUGUGCAGAACAUUUUUAUUUGUAUAACAAAUUGUAGUUUGUAGUUGCAAACAA